rnacentral:rRNA from 1 species
AUGAACGCUGGCGGCGUGCCUAAUACCUGCAGGUCGAGCGAACGGACGAGAAGCUUGCUUCUCUGAUGUUAGCGGCGGACGGGUGAGUAACACGUGGAUAACCUACCUAUAAGACUGGGAUAACUUCGGGAAACCGGAGCUAAUACCGGAUAAUAUUUUGAACCGCAUGGUUCAAAAGUGAAAGACGGUCUUGCUGUCACUUAUAGAUGGAUCCGCGCUGCAUUAGCUAGUUGGUAAGGUAACGGCUUACCAAGGCAACGAUGCAUAGCCGACCUGAGAGGGUGAUCGGCCACACUGGAACUGAGACACGGUCCAGACUCCUACGGGAGGCAGCAGUAGGGAAUCUUCCGCAAUGGGCGAAAGCCUGACGGAGCAACGCCGCGUGAGUGAUGAAGGUCUUCGGAUCGUAAAACUCUGUUAUUAGGGAAGAACAUAUGUGUAAGUAACUGUGCACAUCUUGACGGUACCUAAUCAGAAAGCCACGGCUAACUACGUG